UUUUUUUUUUUUUUUUUUUUUUUUUUAAGAUUUUAUUUAUUUAUUCAUGAGAGACACAGAGAGAGAGGCAGAGACACGGGCAGAGGGAGAAGCAGCAUCCUCGCAAGGAGCCCAAUGCCGGACUUGAUCCCGCCACCAGGAUGACACCCUGAGCCACCCAGGCAUCCUAGAACAUCAAUUCCUAAAAACAAGGCAUAAUAGUUGUGUCUAUAUGUGUAUACAAUGUACAUAAUUUCUCUAGUCAGUCUGGAAAACACAGUAACCAUUGUCUUGGCCAUGUGUCAUUCCUAACUAAAGAUCUUUUGCUUGGUGAGAUUCUCCUCCAGAGCAAGCAUUUGCUUUUGGUUCCCAGCAUGAAAUGCAGUUUUCACUGGAGGUGGCAAUUAGGAAUCUGCAAGAUGUUUAAAGCAGCACAGCAGUCAACACAAAAGGCCACAGUUGUCUCACAUUAUCUGCUGGACGCCAGGAACAGUUUCUGCCAGCCUGUAGAGGUAUAGAGAAUUUUCUCAUUUCUGCUGCUUUCAGUCUCAUCCAUGGAUUCAAGGAAUCACAGGUGAGCUCAUCUAAUCUCUAUGCCAACAUUGGGUCCUCCUUUUUUUUUUUUUAAGAUUUUAUUUAUUUAUGCAUGAGACACAGAGACAGGCAGAGACAGAGGCAGAGGGAGAAGCAGGUUCCAUGCUGGGAGCCCGAAGUGGGCCUCUAUCCUGGGUCUCCAGGAUCACGCCCUGGGGUGAAGGCGGCGCUAAACCGCUGCGCCACCGGGGCUGCCCUGGAUCCUCCUUUUGUCAGUAAAACCACUACUUGAAAAAGAAUUUGGGGCGCCUAGCUAGCUCAGUCGGUAGAGCAUGCAACCCUUGAUAUCAGGGUCAUGAGUUUGAGCCCCAUGUUGGGUGGAGAGAUUACUUAAAUAAUCUUAAAAAAUAAUAAUAAAAGAAAAAUAACUCAUUAUCCCCAAAGGAAACCUAGUCUAUUGUUGGAUAGUCCUAAUUGUUGGAUAAUGUUGCCUUCUACUGAGCCAAAAUCAGCCUCCUUUUAUGAGAGUAUGGGUCAGGCUCCAGCCUAUUAAGAGUUUCACCCUGAGAUACUGUUUUUGAGCUAUAAGCUGAUUUAGUUUUCAGACAAACACCUUCUGCUCUCCAGCUUUAGAGAUACGAUUCUUUGUUUUGUUUUUAAGAUUUAAAAAUUUUUUAAAGAUUUUAUUUAUUUAUUCAUGAAAGACACACGGAGAGAGAGGCAGAGACACAGGCAGAGGGAGAAGCAGGCUCCCUGCAAGGAGCCCGAUGUGGGACUCGAUCCUGGAUCCUGGGAUCAUGCUCUGAGCCAAAGGCAGACGCUCAACCACUGAGCCACUCAGGCACCCCAAGAUUUAAAUUUUUUUUAAGAUUUAUUUAUUUAUUUAUGAUAGACAUAUAUAUAGAGAGAGGGGCAGAGACAGGAGGAGGGAAUAGAGAAUUUUCUCAUUUCUGCUGCUUUCAGUCUCAUCCAUGGAUUCAAGGAAUCACAGGUGAGCUCAUAUAAUCUCUAUGCCAACAUUGGAUCCUCCUUUUUUUUUUUUUUUUUUUAAAGAUUUUAUUUAUUUAUGCAUGAGACACAGAGACAGGCAGAGACAGAGGCAGAGGGAGAAUCAGGUUCCAUGGCGGGAGCCUGACGUGGGACUUGAUCCCAGGACUCCAGGAUCGCGCCCUGGGCCAAAGGCAGGCGCUAAACCGCUGCGCCACCCAGGGAUCCCCGAUUUAAAUUUUUUAAAAAGUAAUCUCUACACCCAAUGUGGGGUUGGAACUUACAACCCCAAGAUAAAGAGCUGCACACUGUAACUACUGAGCCAGCCAAGUGCCCCUAGAAAUGUAAUUCUAAUUUAGGAUUUCAAUUCUUUUUCUUUUUUGGGGGAGGGUGGAUUUCAAUUCUUUUCUUAACUGGCAGUUUUGUAAAUGUAUGCCUUCACUUGCUGCCUAUUGAUUGCCUCUUCUAUCACCAGACAUUUGGCCAAACUUAGCUUCACAAAAGUCACCAUUUCAGUCAUUUGGAUUGGAUUUUAUUUAUUUUUGUUUUAAGAGAGGGAAGAGCACAUGAGUGUACAAGGUGGGGGAUGGAGGAUGGGCGGGGGUGGGGACGAAAGAGAGAGAGAGAGAGAGAGAGAGAGAGAGAGAAUGAAUCUAAAGCAGGCUCCACACCAGCAGAGUCCAAUGCAGACUUCCAUUUCAUGACCCUGAGAUCAUGACCUGAGCCAAUAUCAAGAGUCAGAUGCUUAACCAACUGAGCCACCCAGGGACCCCUGAAUUUUUAUUUUAAUUUAACCAAAGCCAAUGUUUCCAAAGAUCAUUUACCUGGGCAUAUACUAUUUGUAUUGUGAAAUAUAUUUACUUUUAUAGUUGGGUCUUUAUUUUUUCUUUGCAAAUGAUAUGAAGUGUUCCCAAGUCCCUUCCCCAAUGAUCAGUAAGCAAUUUUGAUAUGUGCCUCUAUAAGAACUCUUGAAAAAAAACAAAAAAAA
rnacentral:lncRNA from 1 species